UGCUCAGCUCACUAAAAUGCAAGGCCUCCCGGAGAGGAAGACCUUGCCACCAUUUGUAGGGCUGACUGGCUCCUCUACGGAGAAGGCAUCAACAAAGCUGGAACAGAACAGAGAAUUCACCUUAGGAUGUGGAGCCUAGAAGUGGGGGUGACCCGCUGGACACAACAUCAGGUGCAGCACUCCUGGAUAGUGAAGCCAUGUGGAGCCACUGCCCAGGAUCAGGAAAGGCCCAGCACAUGCUGCUGACCUCUUCAUUGUAUGCACGCCAGGACUCAGCAGGAUGGCCUGAGACAACCGUAAGGUAGGACACAAAACUCAGGCUUUGUUGGUGACCUGCUGGUUCUUCACUUCCUCUGCUUCCCUUGAGGACUGUCCUUGUCUUGCUUCUGCCUGGUCACUUCCAGGUUGCAUGUGUGUAAAAGGGAGACCCUCAUGCUUGCUCCCCCUUGGUGACAGGAGUAAAACAGAAAACGCAGAUGGAGUUCUAGGAAUUCUCAGGUAGGGGACGUGGGCAGAUUCACAGCUUUGGCCACUGUCAGGGCUGAGAAACAUGGCAAGAUCAUGGGGAGGAACCAUGCCUAGGGUGAGUUUGUAGGUGGGCCCUUAAAGAUUUGGAUGUAGAGCUCAGUAGGUGUGAAUAAAUACACUGAAGGCACUGGGAGGAGAUGAUUU
rnacentral:lncRNA from 1 species